CACGUAGGCGGUCUGUUAUGUCGGAUGUGAAAGCCCUUGGCUUAACUAAGGAAGUGCAUCCGAAACUGGCAAGCUAGAGUACUAAAGAGGGUCGCGGAAUUCCCGGUGUAGAGGUGAAAUUCGUAGAUAUCGGGAGGAACACCGGCGGCGAAGGCGGCGACCUGGGUAGAUACUGACGCUGAGGUGCGAAAGCGUGGGGGAGAAACA
rnacentral:rRNA from 1 species